GUCCACGCUGUAACGAUGAGUGCUAGGUGUCACGGCUUUGACCCUGUGGUGCCGUAGCUAACGCAGUAAGCACUCCGCCUGGGAGUACGGCCGCAAGGCUAAACUCAAAGGAAUUGACGGGCCCGCACAAGCGGUGGAGCAUGUGGUUAAUUCGACGCAACGCGCAGAACCUUACCUGGGCUAGAAAGUGCAGGAACUCGGUCGAAAGGUCGAGGUGCCCUUCGGGGAACCUGCAGUUAGGUGUUGCAUGGCUGUCGU
rnacentral:rRNA from 1 species